CCAAUAGCGUAUAUUAAAGUUGUUGCAGUUAAAAAGCUCGUAGUUGAAUUUCGAGAUCAGUACGCUGGUCGUGCCUUUGGUAUGCACUGGUGUCACUGGUUUCUCCCUUCUGAAGAACCGUCAUGUCAUUAAGUUGGUGUGGCGGGGAAUCAGGACUGUUACUUUGAAAAAAUUAGAGUGUUUAAAGCAGGCUCGCGCUU
rnacentral:rRNA from 1 species